GGCGACAUAGCCCAGGGGUAAGGCAGAGGUCUGCAAAACCUUUAUCACCGGUUCAAAUCCGGUUGCCGCCU
rnacentral:tRNA from 1 species